rnacentral:rRNA from 1 species
UACGUAGGGACCAAGCGUUGUUCGGAUUUACUGGGCGUAAAGAGCGCGCAGGCGGUCGUUCAAGUCGAGUGUGAAAGCCCCCGGCUCAACUGGGGAGGGUCACUCGAUACUGAUCGACUCGAAGGCAGGAGAGGGAAGCGGAAUUCCCGGUGUAGUGGUGAAAUGCGUAGAUAUUGGGAGGAAUACCAGUGGCGAAGGCGGCUCCCUGGACCGGUACUGACGCUGAGGCGCGAAAGCGUGGGUAGCAAACAGG